rnacentral:rRNA from 1 species
GACGAACGCUGGCGGCGUGCUUAACACAUGCAAGUCGAACGAGUGGCGAACGGGGGUGUAAAACGUGGGUAAAAUGCCCUCUGUUUGGGAUAAGCCAUGGAAAAGGGGUCUAAUACCGAAUAAAGGGGGAUGGGCUCGGGGACUAUCAGCUUGUUGGUGGGGUGAUGGCCUACCAAGGCGGUGACGGGUAGCCGGGCGGAGAGGGUGACCGGCCACAUUGGGACUGCGAGACGGCCCAGGAGCCUACGGGAGGGAGCAGUGGGGGAUAUUGCACAAUGGGUGAAAGCCUGAUGCAGCGACGCCGAGUGGGGGAUGGAGGCUUUCGGGUUGUAAACCUGUGUCGCUAGCGAACGGGUAGGUGGAGAAGAAGCGCCGGCUAACUACGUGCCAGUCGCCGCGGUAAUAC